CGUAGGUGGCAAGCGUUGUCCGGAUUUAUUGGGUUUAAAGGGUGUGUAGGCGGUUUUCUAAGUCAGCAGUGAAAUACGGCAGCUCAACUGUCGAGGUGCUGUUGAUACUGGGGAACUUGAGUACUGAUGAGGUAGGCGGAAUGGACGGUGUAGCGGUGAAAUGCUUAGAGAUCGUCCAGAACACCGAUAGCGAAGGCAGCUUACUAAGGAGUAACUGACGCUGAGGCACGAAAGUGUGGGGAUCAAACAGGAUUAGAUACCCUGGUAGUCCACACUGUAAACGAUGAUUACUCGAUGUGUGCGAUACACAGCACGCGUCUUAGCAAAAGCGAUAAGUAAUCCACCUGGGGAGUACGCCGGCAACGGUG
rnacentral:rRNA from 1 species